AGCGAACGCUGGCGGCAGGCUUAACACAUGCAAGUCGAGCGGGCGUAGCAAUACGUCAGCGGCAGACGGGUGAGUAACGCGUGGGAACGUACCUUUUGGUUCGGAACAACCCAGGGAAACUUGGGCUAAUACCGGAUAAGCCCUUACGGGGAAAGAUUUAUCGCCGAAAGAUCGGCCCGCGUCUGAUUAGCUAGUUGGUGAGGUAACGGCUCACCAAGGCGACGAUCAGUAGCUGGUCUGAGAGGAUGAUCAGCCACAUUGGGACUGAGACACGGCCCAAACUCCUACGGGAGGCAGCAGUGGGGAAUAUUGGACAAUGGGCGCAAGCCUGAUCCAGCCAUGCCGCGUGAGUGAUGAAGGCCCUAGGGUUGUAAAGCUCUUUUGUGCGGGAAGAUAAUGACGGUACCGCAAGAAUAAGCCCCGGCUAACUUCGUGCCAGCCGCCGCAGUAAG
rnacentral:rRNA from 1 species